rnacentral:RNase_P_RNA from 1 species
UCAGACGGCCGGGCGGUCGCGGCGCCUCGGCGUCGAGGAAAGUCCGGGCUCCACGGUGACAAGGCGGCGGGUAACGCCCGCCCGGGGUGACCCGAGGGAUAGCGCCACAGAAAGCAAACCUCCUCCGCCGCGGCGGCGGGAAGGGUGAAAGGGUGGGGUAAGAGCCCACCGCGGACCUGGUGACAGGGACGGCAUGGCAAGCCCCGCCUGGAGCAAGACCGAAUAGGGAUUCCGCGCCUCCCUUGCGGAGGUAGGGCCGUCUCCGGCCCGAGGAAUCCGGGUUGGUCGCGAGAACCGUCCAGCAAUGGGCGGUCCAGAGGAAUGAUCGUCGCGGGCCUUCGGGCCCGAACAGAACCCGGCUUACAGGCCGUCUGAUCCG